rnacentral:lncRNA from 1 species
CCAGGGAGUGUCCUGGUGACUUCUGGGUGGCCAGACCCCUCCUGAUCCCCAAUAUCUGUGCCCCUCCCUCCCACCGGCCAGCCAGUCAAACCACCAGGAUAACGCCUCAUAUACCCGGACUUCCGAUCUUAAAUUCAGAACCCUUGAUCUGGGACCCUCGUUCAUGAUUACAAAACCCAGGUCUGACAAGAAGGAAGUCAGGCUUCUGAAAGGAAGGCUUCGGAAAGUCUGUUGCUCUGAGCCUGGUGGGCAUGAAGACGGCCAGAGUAAGGCCAGCCCAGGUUCAAGAUGAGGGGGAGGGCCUGCAGCCUGGCUCUCUGGUUUCCAGGCAGGAAGCAGGAAGCUGCUGGGGAGCAGGAUGCUACUCCUCUUUGAUGUAAACUCACUUCCCAGGUAUCCCUAACUGCACCUACUUACCCAUGCAAAGCCAGUAUUUGAGGAAAAGGGACAAGAGGAAGCCAAGGAGACACUGACGCAGGACAACACACCUGUCUUGGAUACGGGUAACCAGAGGAAGUGGCAUGGCUCCUCUACACCUGACUUCUUUAUCUUCAAAAGAAAAUAAAACUGCUCCUCCCCCCAAAGGCGGUC